GUUGACCUCGAAUUAGGUAGGAAUACCCGCUGAACUUAAGCAUAUCAAUAAGCGGAGGAAAAGAAAGCAACAGCGAUUACCUCAGUAGCGGCGAGCGAAGCGGUAACAGCCCAGAUUUGAAAUCUGGCCUUCGGGUCCGAAUUGUAAUCUGCAGAGGAUGCUUUAGGCAAGGCACCGGCCAAGUUCCCUGGAAUGGGACGCCUUAGAGGGUGAGAGCCCCGUAGUGCUGGUUGCCACGCCAUUGUAUAGCUCCCUCGAAGAGUCGCGUAGUUUGGGAAUGCUGCGCAAAUAGGGAGGUAUAUCUCUCCUAAGGCUAAAUACCUGUCAGAGACCGAUAGCGCACAAGUAGAGUGAUCGAAAGAUGAAAAGAACUUUGAAAAGAGGGUUAAACAGUAUGUGAAAUUGCUAAAAGGGAAGCGCUUAUGGCUAGACUUGGUGGUGGUGGAGCAAUCUGCUGCUACUGGGCCGGCACCAGUUCGCGUUGGGGGGUAAAGGCAGCAGGAACGUGGCUCCUCCGGGAGUGUUAUAGCCUGCUGUGUAAUACCCUGGUGCGGACUGAGGCUCUCGCUUCGGCAAGGGUGCCGGCAUAAUGGCCAUCAGCGGCCCGUCUUGAAACACGGACCAAGGAGUCGUCUUCGUAUGCGAGUGUUUGGGUGUCAAACCCAAGCGCGUAAUGAAAGUGAACGUUGGUGAGAGCUGCGGCGCAUCAUCGACCGAUCCUGAAGUUUACAGAUGGAUUUGAGUAAGAGCAUACGGGGCCGGACCCGAAAGAAGGUGAACUAUGCGUGUGUAGGGUGAAGCCAGAGGAAACUCUGGUGGAGGCUCGCAGCGGUUCUGACGUGCAAAUCGAUCGUCAAACAUGCGCAUGGGGGCGAAAGACUAAUCGAACCUUCUAGUAGCUGGUUUCCGCGA
rnacentral:rRNA from 1 species